AUGCUUCCUUUGGCAGCACAUUUACUAAAAUUGAAAUGAUGCAGAGCAGAAUACCAUGGUCCCUGUGUAAGGAUGACAUGCAAAUUUAUAGUCUUCCAUAUUUUU